CGCGAUAAACGUGCUGGCGGAUAUGAAGGAUAACAUUUCGGUCGGUCUCGACAAGGGACACGCGGUGACUAAGCGCGAGCUUGCCGCGAAGCCUGGUUCGCGUAAGGGGGUGUGUAUUGCUUUCUACUUUCACGGGUUUUUUCUAACUGCGUGCGUGCAGGUAAUAGUGGUGAAAGUAUAAAGUCAACCACGGGGCGAACCGGAAGUAGUGGUGUCAACAGUUUGAUUGCUUCACUAUUCAAUCGUCCCAAUCCCUGCACGACUGCCGUGCGUACGAUUCGACGACGAUAGAAUCGCUGCAAGAUCUCAGAAAUUUCGGACCGUGAGUUGAGUUUAGACAACAUUUGUGCCAACAUGUAACCAUCUUCGAAUGCCAGACCAGUUCCUUGACCAAUGUUUGGCAUAGUUGCGUGACACGAGUCUCCAAGCAAGACGACAUUUCCUUUCGCCCAGCUUUUCCUUAUACUUGGCGUUCGAUCGAGCAAGUCACGUUGGAUUAUACCCCCCUCGUCCGUGGCAGCUAUCAGGUUCCUUACUUCAGGUGCCCAAUCCUUAAAAGUGUUUGUGAGCGUUUUCUUCGAUGGCGUAGACGUGGGUGUGCGAGGUAGCGCCUUUACAAAUGCAUACCACUGCACUCGACCAAAACGAUCUGGACAAACCACAAAAUAGUGAUCAGGUCCAAUGAAGGCACUAUACCCAAGAUCGAAAUAAUCUGAAGAGUUCGAAAUCGGCAGACCGCUGUAAAGUUUGAAGCCAGUGUAUGAAGCUAUCGCAAAACGAUCAUUAACUGUACUUGAAACUUCAUCGAACAUUUGCGAACGCACCGUACUCCAAAUACCAUCUGCGCCUAUUAAGAUGUCGCACGACAGUGUUUCUCCAUUCUCAAGAAAAACUUCUACUCCUUUGUCUGAUUCGAAGUACCUUGAUACUGCAGUCCCCAUUCUCACUACUUCUCUAUCGGUAGAGACUCGAUUUAAUUCUUCUAGCAAAACGGAUUGAAGAUCCGAUCUAUCGAUACAAAUCGAAAACGGUAGACUGUCCUCGCAUGGUAUUUGUGUUAUGGCAUCAAAUGUAAACAUCCAUUCGGAGGUGAUGCCGUCUCGGAUCCCACUCUUUGUAGACCAAAACGGCCGACUAGCUGCUCGUAUAUUCUUCGCGAGUUCAUCACUGAUAGCAUGCGCAACACCCAUGCCAUUGCUAGCGAGCUGAAUGGGACCACCUAACGGUUUAUACUCUUUUGUUCUCUCCAGCACAGUAACGUUCAUUCCCUGCUGAACGAGACAUAUCGCAGCAAAUAGCCCCCCAAGACCUCCUCCGGCUAUGAUGAUGUCGACAUUUGCCUUCAUGUCGGUGCAAGCGCGGACGCCCGCACGCGGGCUUUUAAAAUCGCGCGGCCAUCCUUUUCCGGACGACCUUUGAUAACACUGGCGGCUAUUUUGGUCGAGCUUCACGUGCCUCGCCACACGUGUUUUCAGCAUCAUGAGGCAGCAAAUACUGACCAGUGCGAGAUGCGAGUCCUAAAGGGGUCAGUCUACGCACAACGAAGAACUGAUGUCCCUCAGUACCCACGGCGCACGCUGCCGCGUGACUUCUCGACGGUCAACCGGUGUAAUAUUCCCACAUGCGAUAUCACCCAUG
rnacentral:lncRNA from 1 species